GAUGAACGCUGGCGGCGUGCCUAAUACAUGCAAGUCGAGCGAACGGACGAGAAGCUUGCUUCUCUGAUGUUAGCGGCGGGCGGGUGAGUAACACGUGGAUAACCUACCUAUAAGACUGGGAUAACUUCGGGAAACCGUAGCUAAUACCGGAUAAUAUUUUGAACCGCAUGGUUCAAAAGUGAAAGACGGUCUUGCUGUCACUUAUAGAUGGAUCCGCGCUGCAUUAGCUAGUUGGUAAGGUAACGGCUUACCAAGGCAACGAUGCAUGGCCGACCUGAGAGGGUGAUCGGCCACACUGGAACUGAGACACGGUCCAGACUCCUACGGGAGGCAGCAGUAGGGAAUCUUCCGCAAUGGGCGAAAGCCUGACGGAGCAACGCCGCGUGAGUGAUGAAGGUCUUCGGAUCGUAAAACUCUGUUAUUAGGGAAGAACAUAUGUGUAAGUAACUGUGCACAUCUUGACGGUACCUAAUCAGAAAGCCACGGCUAACUACGUG
rnacentral:rRNA from 1 species